rnacentral:rRNA from 1 species
AUUGAACGCUGGCGGCAGGCCUAACACAUGCAAGUCGAACGAGUGGCGGACGGGUGAGUAGUGUCUGGGCACCUGGGUGAUGGAGGGAGCUAACUACUGGAAACGGUCGCUAAUACCGCAUACCAUCGGAUGUGCCCACGUGGGAUUAGCUAGUCGGUGGGGUAACGGCUCACCUAGGCGACACUCCCUAGCUGGUCUGAGAGGAUGAGCAGCCACACUGGAACUGAGACACGGUCCAGACUCCUACGGGAGGCAGCAGUGGGGAAUAUUGCACAAUGGGCGAAAGCCUGAUGCAGCCAUGCCGCGUGUAUGAAGAAGGCCUUCGGGUUGUAAAGCACUUUCAGUGAGGAGGCGUUACCUGCAGAAGAAGCAUCGGCUAACUCCGUGCCAGCCGCCGCGGUAAUUC